GGUUUAGAGGGAUAUGGACCAAACGUAGGCAGGUGGGACUAGUGUAGCUGGGAGAUGUUGGUCGGUGUGGGCAAGUUGGCUGAAGGGGUUGUUUUCAUGCUGUAUCACUCUCUGACCAGUGGGUGACAUAGAUAGGUGAUGACUGCAAUAAUAAUUUAGGCAAAUAAUCUCCGAAUGGUACACAACCAUUAUUUUACACAUAAUUCUCCCCUCUCCCAUCGGGCAAGAGGUACAGAAGUGUGAAAACGAACGCACACACCUCCAGAAUCAGAGACAGUUUCUUCCCGGCUGUUAUCAGGCAACUGAACCAUCCUACCACAACCAGAGAGACAUUAGACAAUAGAUAAUAGGUGCAGGAGUAGGCCAUUUGGCCCUUCGAGCCGGUCCUGAACUACUAUCCACCUCAAUGGAGACCCUCGGACUAUCCUUGAUCGGACUUUGCUGGCUUUACCUUGCACUAAAGGUUAUU